UUAGCGCGCAGGCCGGAGGCUGGCCCCCCACGAUAGGGCCAAACGUCCGUCAGGGGUGAGCAGAUGUGCGCCGGCCGUACCGCCCCAUUCUUUUCUACAUUACUCGGUUGCCUCGGCGGGCCGCGCUCUCCCAGGAGAGCCGUUCGGCGAGCCUCUCUUUAGUGGCUAAACGCUGGACCGCGCCCGCCGGAGGACAGACGCAAAAAAAUUCUUUCAGAAGAGCUGUCAGUCUGAGCGUUAGCAAGCAAAAAUCAGUUAAAACUUUCAACAACGGAUCUCUUGGUUCCGGCAUCGAUGAAGAACGCAGCGAAAUGCGAUAAGUAAUGUGAAUUGCAGAAUUCCGUGAAUCAUCGAAUCUUUGAACGCACAUUGCGCCCCCUGGCAUUCCGGGGGGCAUGCCUGUUCGAGCGUCAUUUCAGCCCCUCAAGCCCGGCUUGUGUGAUGGACGACCGUCCGGCGCCCCCGUCUUUGGGGGUGCGGGACGCGCCCGAAAAGCAGUGGCCAGGCCGCGAUUCCGGCUUCCUAGGCGAAUGGGCAACAAACCAGCGCCUCCAGGACCGGCCGCCCUGGCCUCAAAAUCUGUUUUAUACUUAUCAGGUGACCUCGGAUCAGGUAGGA
rnacentral:misc_RNA from 1 species